GACGAACGCUGGCGGCGUGCUUAACACAUGCAAGUCGAACGGAAAGGCCCUGCUUUUGUGGGGUGCUCGAGUGGCGAACGGGUGAGUAACACGUGAGUAACCUGCCCUUGACUUUGGGAUAACUUCAGGAAACUGGGGCUAAUACCGGAUAGGAGCUCCUGCUGCAUGGUGGGGGUUGGAAAGUUUCGGCGGUUGGGGAUGGACUCGCGGCUUAUCAGCUUGUUGGUGGGGUAGUGGCUUACCAAGGCUUUGACGGGUAGUCGGCCUGAGAGGGUGACCGGCCACAUUGGGACUGAGAUACGGCCCAGACUCCUACGGGAGGCAGAAGUGGGGAAUAUUGCACAAUGGGCGGAAGCCUGAUGCAGCAGCGCCGCGUGCGGGAUGACGGCCUUCGGGUUGUAAACCGCUUUCGCCUGUGACGAAGCGUGAGUGACGGUAAUGGGUAAAGAAGCACCGGCUAACUACGUG
rnacentral:rRNA from 1 species